AAGGCGUGAAAGCGUGGGAGCAAACAGGAUUAGAUACCCUGGUAGUCCACGCCCUAAACGAUGUUCACUAGUCGUCGGGAUGCUAGUCAUCUCGGUGAUGCACUUAACAGAUUAAGUGAACCGCCUGGGGAGUACGGUCGCAAGAUUAAAACUCAAAGGAAUAGACGGGGACCCGCACAAGUGGUGGAGCAUGUGGUUUAAUUCGAAGAUACGCGAAGAACCUUACCUAGCCUUGACAUUGAAGAAACACAGUAGAGAUACAGUGGUGCCCUUCGGGGAAUCUGAAAACAGGUGCUGCACGGCUGUCGUCAGCUCGUGUCGUGAGAUGUUGGGUUAAGUCCCGCAACGAGCGCAACCCUCGUCCUUAGUUGCUAGCAGGUUAAGCUGAGCACUCUAAGGAGACUGCCUUCGUAAGGAGGAGGAAGGUGAGGACGACGUCAAGUCAUCAUGGCCCUUAUGGCUAGGGCUACACACGUGCUACAAUGGGGCGUACAGAGUGUUGCGAUACCGCGAGGUGGAGCUAAUCACUUAAAGCGUCUCUCAGUUCGGAUUGGAGUCUGCAACUCGACUCCAUGAAGCUGGAAUCACUAGUAAUCGUAGAUCAGCAAUGCUACGGUGAAUACGUUCCCGGGUCUUGUACUCACCGCCCGUCACACCAUGGGAGUUGAUUUCACCCGAAAUCGGGAAGCGAACCUUCGGGGCGCUACCGCUUACGGUGGAAUUAGCGACUGGGGUGAAGUCGUAACAAGGUA
rnacentral:rRNA from 1 species